GAUUGCAGGCUGCAACCCGCCUGCAUGAAGUCGGAAUUGCUAGUAAUCGCGGAUCAGCAUGCCGCGGUGAAUACGUUCCCGGGCCUUGUACACACCGCCCGUCACACCAUGGGAGCCGGUAAUACCCGAAGUCAGUAGUCCAACCACGUGAGGACGCUGCCGAAGGUAGGAUUGGCGACUGGGGUGAAGUCGUAACAAGGUAAC
rnacentral:rRNA from 1 species